rnacentral:rRNA from 1 species
GACGAACGCUGGCGGCGCGCUUAACACAUGCAAGUCGAGCGAGAACCGGGGCUUCGGCCCCGGGGACAGCGGCGAACGGGUGAGUAACACGUGAGUAACCUGCCCUCGGCACCGGAAUAGCCCGGGGAAACCCGGAUUAAUGCCGGAUGGCCCCUCUGCCCUGCGGGGCGGCGGGAAAAGGUAGCUUCGGCCUCCGGCCGAGGAUGGGCUCGCGGCGGAUUAGCUUGUUGGCGGGGUAACGGCCCACCAAGGCGACGAUCCGUAGCUGGUCUGAGAGGAGGAUCAGCCACACUGGGACGGAGACACGGCCCAGACUCCUACGGGGGGGAGCAGUGGGGAAUCUUGCGCAAUGGGCGAAAGCCUGACGCAGCGACGCCGCGUGCGGGAAGAAGGCCCUCGGGUUGUAAACCGCUUUCAGGAGGGACGAAGCCACUCGGGUGAACAGCCCAGAGGGUGACGGUACCUCCAGAAGAAGCCCCGGCUAACUACGUGCCAGCAGCCGCCGUAAGAC